rnacentral:lncRNA from 10 species
GCUUGGUUUCCCUCCUUUAUCUGGCCCCGUUGAGCCCGCAAGGGGAGGGGGGAGGGGAGCUAGGGUCCGAGACCCAAAUCUCCACCAGGGACUCGGGUCGGGGUCCCCUCCCCGCCCGUCUCCCUUCCCUGUCCAGGCGGUGAAAACCGAGUUAGGGUGGGCCGACUGCAGUAAAGAUGCUCCUCCCCACCUCCACCUCUUCCUAGGGCUCCCGCCUUCUCCAGGUCCAGAAAGAACCCCAAGCCCCGUCCAUCGGGACACGCCCCCAGGUACACCGAGGGGCACGCCCCCUUAGAAACCCCGCCCCGGACCCCUCCCCUUCGGUCGCGCCUCUGCAGGCCCCGCCUCCGUCGUCGGGUCCCCACUGGAAGGCGCCCUCUGUGCAUCUCUUUGUCUCUCUGGCCGCCUCUGCCUCCAUCUCUGUGUGUCUGCGUCUUCGUCCCUGUCUCUGAGUUUCGGCUUGGGUGUCUCUCUCCUACCCCGGUCUCUCUGUGUCCUGUCUGUCUCUGCCUCUCCUGUCCCUCUCUCCGCAGCGCCCUCCCCGUCUCUGUCUCUCUGAGUCCCUAGCUCGCUCCUUCUCUAAAUCUGUGUCCCUAUAGCCCCCUGCGUCUCUCUGACUCUCCCUGCAUCUCCCUCCCCUGUCUGUGAAUUUCUCUGUGUCCAUCUUCUGUCCUCUCCCUCCGGUCCCUGGCUCCCUGCCGUGCUUCCUCUGGUCCCGAGUCUCCCCUUCAUCUCCCGCCUGGCCCUCCUCCCUGUGGCCACCUCCUCCCUGCGGCCUCUCGGGGCAGGGUGGGCGCCUGGGCGUGCUGCGCGCGCCCUCAUGUGGCCGGCAGACGCUGCGUGUGAGCGCCAAAAGGGGAGUGCUGGGGAGCGGGGGACGCUGGUGUUCGCGGUGACACUGGGAAAUGGCGUGUGACACCUGGAGGCUGUGUGAGUGUGUACUGCCGGGAGACGGCGUGAGACAUCUGGAGAGUGUGUGAGUGUGUACUGCCGUGAUGGUGUGUGACUCCAGGAGAUCUGUGAGUGUGUACUGCUGUGAGAUGGUGUACGACGCCAGGAAACUGUGUGAGUGUCGACUGCCGUGAGAUGGUGUGCAGUGCCAGGACCAGGACACCAUGAGUGUGUACUGCCAUGAUGGUGUACUGGUGAGAUGGUGUGUGGUGCUGGGAGUCUGUGUGUGACUGAUUGAUAUGAGAUUAUGUGCGACAAGGAGAGACUGAGUGGGACUGCAUAUGUCAGAGAUGACAUGUCGCUGACUGUGUGUGACACUGAGAUUACUGGUGAUGCUGAGAGAUUGUGGGUGACUGUGUGUGCUGAUGAAAGGUUAUGUGUGAUCGGGUGUGGGAGAGACACUCUUUGGGGCUCUGUAUGGGACAUUGAGAGACCGUAUGUGGGAGUGAGAGACCGUGUGUGACGGUGCGUGUGAGGGGGCAGUGUGUGUGGCUGUGUGCAACAUGGUGAGCAUACGGUGCUGUGUGUGUCACACAAGUAGAUUCUGUGUGAGAGAGAGUGAGACUGAUGACUGAUGUACACUGAGAGGUGGUGUGGGCAGGUGUCAUGAGAGGCACAUAGGGGGCCUGGGUGGGACAGACACAGUGAGUGUCAGUCUGUGUUGGCCACUCUGUGUAUGGCUUGUGAAAAAGUGCGUGAUCCGGGCACAUUGCUGUAAUCCCAGCACUUUGGGUGGCUGAGGCGGGAGGAUCCCUUGAGGCCAGGAGUUUGAGAUCAGCCUGGGCAACAUAGGGAGACCCCUCCCCCCACCCCCGCCGUCUCUACCAAAAUAAAAAUAAAAGAAAUUAACCAGGUGCGGUUAUGUACCUCUGUGGUCCCAGCUACUGGGAGGCUGAGGUUGGAGGAUCGCUUGAGCCUGGGAAGUGGAGGCUGCAGUGAGCUAAGAUCGCGCCACUGCACUCCAGCCUGGGUGACAGAGAGAGAGACCUUGUCUCAAAAAACAAAACAAAACUGCGUGACUAUGUGUGACACUGAGCUGGUGAGAGAUGGCAGCGUUGUGACAGUGCAUGCGAGAGUUUGCGGCUGUGCAGGGCACUCGGAAGCGAGAGCGUGAGGGAGGCCUUGUGUGUAGAAGGCAAGAGAUGAUGGAGAGGUGGGAGUGAGUGUGUGAAACGCUGCGAGCUUGUGUGGGACUCUGUGAGACACUGAGCCAUCGUGGGUAGCUAGGUAUGACACCAGGAGAUGGGUUGCGUGCGUGUGUGUGACAGGGACAGACUGUGUAUGGAGGGAAUGUGUCAGAUGCGUGUGACACCAGGAGACUGUGAGAGAAUGUAUGUGACCUUCCAUGGUUGUCACUGGACAGGCGACUGGGUGUUACUAUGAAAUACUAUAAAACAGUGUGUACUUGACAGGUUGUAUUGGGUAAUUGCAUGCCACCGUGAGACACAGAAAGUGUGAGACUGGGACAGGGUGUGAGAUUGAGAGAGUUUAAAUGGCAUGCAAGGCCAGGCGCGGUGGCUCACGCCUGUAAUCCCAGCACUUUGGGAGGCCGAGGCGGGUGGAUGACCUGAGGUCAGGAGUUCAAGACCAGCCUGGCCAACAUUGUGAGACCCUGUCUCUACGAAAAAUACAAAAAUCAGACGGGCGUGGUGUCAGGCACCUGUAAUCCCAGCUACUCAGGAGGCUGAGGCAGGAGAAUGGCUUGAACCCAGGAGGCGGAGGUUGCAGUGAGCUGAGAUUGGGCCACUGCACUCCAGCCUGGGCAACACAGCGAGACUUCAUCUCAAAAAAAAAAAAAAAAAAAGGCAUGCAAAUGUGUGUGACAUUUGGAGACAUUAUGUGUGACACUGUGGUACAUUUGGUGCUCUGAGAUAAUUUAUCUGACUGUGUAGCGCUUGGAGCUGCCAUUGGUGGCGGCUGUGUGUGGCAUUUGGGGCAACCGUGUGAGGUUGUGUUGAGCAAGGUCAUUCGUGAGGUUGUGUGGUGCUACCGUGUGACAGGGCAAGAUAGUUUUUGUCUGUGUGAGGGACAGUGAGCAUGAGGCUGGAGGGGGGUGGUGACACCGAGGUGGCGAGUGUGGCUGAGUGAGCGGCUCUGUGGGACACACUGGAGAGGUUUGUUGUGACUGUGGAUUAAAUGUAGCGAGGCCCGGGGCCCACCUAGAGAGACUGUGUUUUCUAGUGAGUGUGAGAGAGGCACAGAGAGAGUCACACAAUAGGACAGCAGCGGCAGAGACACAGGGAGAGGGACAAAGAUAGGACUGACAGACAAGAGAGAGGGCCCAGAGAGGGAGCCCCAAGGUGGCGGGGCGGCGGGGACGGUGGCUCCGGGAGGAGGCGGGUCCGUAGGGGCUGCGCCCCAGGGGAGGGGGCGGGGCGGGCCGGAGGGACCCAGACGCUGCCUCCCAGCCUCUGUCACCGCCGCGAGCCCGGCCCAGAGCAGCAACAGUUCUCCCUGGAGCCACUGCUAAUUGGCCUGGGGGAGGGGCCCCCCUCCUGGCUCUCGCUCUGCCCCCGGGGGUGAGGACACCUGGAUUCUGAUCCAGCACCUGUGGCCCUGUCCUUCUGUCUCAGCCUCCCAUCUGUGCGCCCCUCCUUCCCUCCCUCGCCCCUCCCUGCUCUCUCCCCACCUGCCUUAGCUACCUCCAUCCGUGCACCCCUCCAUCGCUCCUCUUGUUCCUGUCCCCUUCAUCUGUCCCUCCCUCCACCAGCCCCUGGCCACCCCAUUCACGCGCCCUUCCACCCUCGCACCUGUUACCGGGGCCCGCCCUCUCGCCCCCACCUCGGGACCCAGACGUAUCCUAACCUAC